UUCAAGUUUUCUCCGAGAUUUUAUAGUGAUAAAUCGGGUUGAAAAAGAAAUCUUAAAUUCCAUAUGUUGGAAACGGGUGGUGAGUGAUGUAAUGGAAGAACUGCAUGGAAUUCCAGCAAAGCUCACAGCAGGAACUGCCAAUAUAAACCAUCUGGUGCACAUCCUCCAUCGUGACCCGAAUGACUUCUUCUUCAAUUAGUAUGGCGGAAAUUAGAUUUGGUUCGUAACGCCAUGGCCCUAGCGGCGACGGUACCGGUUAUAUCCGUUAUACCAGUGAACAAUCUCGCCCGAAUCAGUGGAAGUUGCCAACCGACAAAGAUUUGGAACACGAUCUGGUUUCUCUUGUACAACUAUAACAACAGCCAAAUCCACACUUUCCACUACUAGAUCAAGUGGUUUAUGUGGUUUACAAUGAGAUAAUAGGUACUUGGUACACCGGUAGUGGAGGAUGGAGAAAGAUGGCCAGCUUCCUAGACCCAUGCUGCACGUAUAGAUUGACCUGGUAAUCAAGAUACAUCUGCCAAUUUGGUCUCUGAGUUUGGACCUGGAAAACGAUGAAAGGGUACUCAAAUCGAGGAACCUGGACGUACAUUGUUUUGGCAAAGGAUUCAAACUUGUUUGCCAAAAGCAGCAAGCCAAUCUCAACCGAUUCGAUCAGCUGGUGCUUGUUUAUUUGGAGCUUCAAUCCGAGUAUCAAUAAUUGCUCGAGUUUGAUUUUUAAGCUUGGUGGCAAUCAAAAUACUUGGUCCUAUUCCGGAGCCUCCGACUGACGGAAAAUUGGUUUGGUGAGCGGCACUGGUGGUGGCAAAACUUCUCGUUCCCAAAAGUAGCGCACUAGUGGUUCUGACCAGUCAAAUGUUCGU